rnacentral:misc_RNA from 1 species
UGAUAUGUAUGCAAAAUGUGGAUGCUUAUAUUUGGCGGUGGAAGUCUUGGAGGGGAUGCCUAAAAGGAAUGCAUUCUCAUGGGCGGCCAUGAUUGGGGGGUUUGCAAUGCAUGGGUACGCGAGUGAAGCAAUUCGUUGCUUGGAGAGAAUGCAGGUGGAAGACGGGCUUAAGCCUGAUGGUGUUGUUCUCCUAGGGGUUUUAACGGCUUGUACUCAUGCAGGGUUGCAAGAGGAAGGCUUACUUCUUUUGGACAACAUGAAAGCUAGAUUUGGGAUCCUACCUAGACAUGAGCACUAUAGUUGCGUAGUGGACUUGUUAUGCAGGGCAGGUCGAUGGGAUGAUGCACUUGCUCGUAUAAGGAGAAUGCCCAUGAAGCCACUUGCGUCAGUUUGGGGGGCUGUACUGAGUAGUUGCCGAACCCACAAGAAUGUGGAGCUUGCAGAACUUGCAGUUAAGGAACUUGUACAGCUUGAUAAUGGUGAUAUAGCGGAAGAAGCAGCAGCUUUUGUUCAAUUGACUAACAUUUAUUUGAGUGCAGAGAAAGGUGAAGAAGCAUGUAAGAUACGUAGGAUGUUUGGUGAAAGAGGGAUGAACAAACCACCGGGAUGUAGUAUGAUAGAAGUGGAUGGAAUUUCAAAUGAGUUCGUUUCUGGAGAUGUGUCACAUAAGGAUCUGCCUCAAAUGCUUGCAAUACUGGAGCUAUUAUUGCCAUACUUAACCACAAAGCCAUAUCAUUAGCUUUAGCUUUUCCACCAGCUCUUUUAAAAAUUUCCCAUGUAUACCUCAAAUUACUUGCUUCAACUUUUGGGAUAAAUCACAUACAAGAAAAAGAAUUCAAUUGAAUUCCUACACACAAUCAUACAACUUUUGACCUGGUUUGUAUUUUUUUUUAAAUGUUAAAAAGAGUUGAAUUCCUUCAAA